UACAGAGGUGGCAAGCGUUGUUCGGAAUUACUGGGCGUAAAGGCGCGUAGGCGGCCUUCUAAGUCAGACGUGAAAUCCCCGGCUUAACCUGGAACUGCGUCUGAUACUGGGAGGCUAGAGUGCGGGAGAGGGAUGCGGAAUUCCAGGUGUAGCGGUGAAAUGCGUAGAUAUCUGGAGGAACACCGGUGGCGAAGGCGGCAUCCUGGACCGACACUGACGCUGAGGCGCGAAAGCUAGGGUAGCAAACGGG
rnacentral:rRNA from 1 species